UACGUAGGGACCAAGCGUUGUUCGGAUUUACUGGGCGUAAAGGGCGCGUAGGCGGCAAAUUAAGUCAGCUGUGAAAUCUCCGAGCUUAACUCGGAACUGUCAGCUGAUACUGGUGUGCUAGAGUGCGGAAGGGGCAAUCGGAAUUCUUGGUGUAGCGGUGAAAUGCGUAGAUAUCAAGAGGAACACCUGAGGUGAAGACGGGUUGCUGGGCCGACACUGACGCUGAGUGCGCGAAAGCCAGGGGAGCAAACGGG
rnacentral:rRNA from 1 species